GAGUUUGAUCAUGGCUCAGGACGAACGCUGGCGGCGUGCUUAACACAUGCAAGUCGAGCGGUAAGGCCCUUCGGGGUACACGAGCGGCGAACGGGUGAGUAACACGUGGGUGAUCUGCCCUGCACUUCGGGAUAAGCCUGGGAAACUGGGUCUAAUACCGGAUAUGACCUUCGGCUGCAUGGCUGAGGGUGGAAAGGUUUACUGGUGCAGGAUGAGCCCGCGGCCUAUCAGCUUGUUGGUGGGGUAAUGGCCUACCAAGGCGACGACGGGUAGCCGACCUGAGAGGGUGACCGGCCACACUGGGACUGAGACACGGCCCAGACUCCUACGGGAGGCAGCAGUGGGGAAUAUUGCACAAUGGGCGAAAGCCUGAUGCAGCGACGCCGCGUGAGGGAUGACGGCCUUCGGGUUGUAAACCUCUUUCAGCAGGGACGAAGCGAAAGUGACGGUACUUGCAGAAGAAGCACCGGCCAACUAA
rnacentral:rRNA from 2 species